UACCUGCAGUCAUGGCAACGCGGAGCUCAGCUCUGAUCAUCUCUGGAUCCUUUGGAGUAAUGAAAGACACCGGCUUGCUUUUGAGAUGAUUAAUCUUUUCCCCUGUGAACCUACUUGAAUACAUUAGCAAAACAAGUAUGAUAAAUUUGUUUAUCCCAAGACAAUCAUUAGAAAAUUACCUGCAAAAGUAAUUCUCACUAGGGCUGGGGCUGUGAAUGGUGCACCAUAUGGCGGGGAGACCUGAGAUGAGCAGCCCAGCCCCUCCUUCACCCCCGCUGGCUGCAACAGGUUGGGGAAGUUGAUGAGUUUUCAGCUGUCAGACAAGCAUGUGGGGAAGAGAGAGUCACACAGACGUUGGAAGGACAAGAAAAUAGCACACAUGUCAACACACUAGUGAAGCUGAGAACAUUUACUGAAGCGAUUGAUCCCAUCCUGGGGUUUCCUGGAGGCAUCAUUUGAAAAUCAUGGGCAGGAGAGGUCUACGGACUUAUGGGAUACACAGUCAGGAUUUGUCAGGAUUGGGACUCCAAAUCUCAGUCUUCUGGACUCCAAAGCCAACUCUCAUCAACUCUGCCAUGUUGUGCCUGAAAUAUAGUAAUUUCUCAAUAAAUACUUGCUUAUGGA